UACGGAGGGUGCAAGCGUUAUCCGGAAUCAUUGGGUUUAAAGGGUCCGCAGGCGGAAGAAUAAGUCAGUGGUGAAAUCUCACAGCUCAACUGUGAAACUGCCAUUGAUACUGUUUUUCUUGAAUUCGAUCGAAGUGGGCGGAAUGUGACAUGUAGCGGUGAAAUGCUUAGAUAUGUCACAGAACACCGAUAGCGAAGGCAGCUCACUAGGUCUGGAUUGACGCUCAGGGACGAAAGCGUGGGGAGCAAACAGG
rnacentral:rRNA from 1 species